rnacentral:rRNA from 1 species
UUGACCUCGGAUCAGGUAGGAGUACC